CCUACGGGUGGCAGCAGUGAGGAAUCUUGGUCAAUGGACGCGAGCCUGAACCAGCCAAGUCGCGUGAAGGAUGACUGCCCUCCGGUUUGUAAACUUCUUUUAUAGAGGAAUAAAGUUACGCGCGUGUGCCUUUUUGUAUGUACUUUAUGAAUACGGAUCGGCUAACUCCGUUCCAGCAGCCGCGGUAAUACGGAGGAUCCGAGCGUUAUCCGGAUUUAUUGGGUUUAAAGGGAGCGUAGACGGGUUGUUAAGUCAGUUGUGAAAGUUGGCGGCUCAACCGGAAAAGUGCAAUGGAUACUGGCAGUCUUGAGUACAGAGGAGGUAGGUGGAAUUCGGGGGGUAGCGGUGAAAUGCUUAGAUAUAACGAAGAACUCCGAUUGCGAAGGCAGCUUACUAAUCUGCCACUGACAUUGAUGCUCGAAAGUGUGGGUAUCAAACAGGAUUAGAUACCCUUGUAGUC
rnacentral:rRNA from 1 species